GCUGGGAUAUUGCGCAAUUUAUGGGCACCCCUCGUCGCUGGAGUUUGUCGGCAGGCUUAUGUUAGCCCAGCGCCAUAGCAUGACAUCAGGGAGGCGUAAACACCCGAAGGCGAGGCUGCAGUCCUUGGGCCAAAUGUGUUUUGCAGAUCAAGGGCGUCUGCAUCCUUCAGGCAAGGCAAGCAUCGUGAUGUAGGCAUAUAUACCAAGGAUGGCCUUCACAGCUGUGUAAGGUCGGUGACUACAACCAGGCCAGGUUGAAGACUCCAUCUAUGGUUACGUCUAUGCAGA